GUGUUGAAUUCUGCAAAAGGUU
rnacentral:miRNA from 1 species